CCUACGGGAGGCAGCAGUGAGGAAUAUUGGUCAAUGGGCUUACGCCUGAACCAGCCAAGUCGCGUGAGGGAAGACUGCCCUAUGGGUUGUAAACCUCUUUUGUCAGGGAGCAACGCCGGCUACGUGUAGCCGGACUGAGAGUACCUGAAGAAAAAGCAUCGGCUAACCCCGUGCAAGCAGCCGCGGUAAUACGGAGGAUGCGAGCGUUAUCCGGAUUUAUUGGGUUUAAGGGGUGCGUAGGCGGAAUGCCAAGUCAGCGGUAAAAUCGCGGGGCUCAACCUCGCUCCGCCGUUGAAACUGGCGUUCUUGAGUGGGCGAGAAGUAUGCGGAAGGCGUGGUGUAGCGGUGAAAUGCAGAGAUAUCACGCAGAACUCCGAUUGCGAAGGCAGCAUACCGGCGCCCAACUGACGCUGAAGCAAGAAAGCGUGGGUAUCGAACAGGAUUAGAUACCCCUGUAGUC
rnacentral:rRNA from 1 species